rnacentral:rRNA from 1 species
AUUGAACGCUGGCGGCAUGCUUUACACAUGCAAGUCGAACGGUAACAGGCCUUCGGGCGCUGACGAGUGGCGAACGGGUGAGUAAUGCAUCGGAACGUGCCCAGUCGUGGGGGAUAACGCAGCGAAAGCUGUGCUAAUACCGCAUACGAUCUGUGGAUGAAAGCGGGGGACCGAAAGGCCUCGCGCGAUUGGAGCGGCCGAUGUCAGAUUAGGUAGUUGGUGGGGUAAAGGCCCACCAAGCCAACGAUCUGUAGCUGGUCUGAGAGGACGACCAGCCACACUGGGACUGAGACACGGCCCAGACUCCUACGGGAGGCAGCAGUGGGGAAUUUUGGACAAUGGGCGCAAGCCUGAUCCAGCAAUGCCGCGUGCAGGAAGAAGGCCUUCGGGUUGUAAACUGCUUUUGUACGGAACGAAACGGCUCUGGUUAAUACCUGGGGCUAAUGACGGUACCGUAAGAAUAAGCACCGGCUAACUACGUGCCAGCAGCCGCCGUAAGAC